UACGGAGGGUGCGAGCGUUGUCCGGAAUCACUGGGCGUAAAGAGCGUGUAGGCGGCCUGAAAGGUCAGCUGUGAAAACUCGAGGCUCAACCUCGAGACGUCGGUUGAAACCAUCUGGCUAGAGUCCGGAAGAGGAGUGUGGAAUUCCCGGUGUAGCGGUGAAAUGCGCAGAUAUCGGGAAGAACACCCGUGGCGAAGGCGGCACUCUGGGACGGUACUGACGCUGAGACGCGAAAGCGUGGGGAGCGAACAGG
rnacentral:rRNA from 1 species